rnacentral:rRNA from 1 species
CCUACGGGACGCAGCAGUGAGGGAUAUUGGGCAAUGGGGGAAACCCUGACCCAGCGACGCCGCGUGAGGGAAGACGGUCUUCGGAUUGUAAACCUCUGUCUUUGGGGACGAAAAAGGACGGUACCCAAGGAGGAAGCUCCGGCUAACUACGUGCCAGCAGCCGCGAUAAUACGUAGGUGGCGAGCGUUGUCCGGAUUUACUGGGCGUAAAGGGAGCGUAGGCGGACUUUCAAGUGAGAUGUGAAAUACUCGGGCUCAACUUGAGUGCUGCAUUUCAAACUGGAAGUCUAGAGUGCAGGAGAGGAG